CCGGUUACAUUCCGAACCCGGAAGCUAAGCCUUACAGCGCCGAUGGUACUGCAGGGGGGACCCUGUGGGAGAGUAGGUCGCCGCCGAAC
rnacentral:rRNA from 1 species